rfam:Aphanizomenon flos-aquae 2012/KM/D3 spades_262_len_T:9526, whole genome shotgun sequence.
CACUCUCUACAGUCAGAGUUGAUAGGAGGGAUUCUAUCAAGCGUACACCAGAGAGUCCAAACUCAAACCCAGUGAUGUGGGUGACUAUAUCCAAAUAUAAAACCGAGCCAGUUAGCUUGGUAGGGAAACCGAAGACUUAACUGGCUC